UGCAGAGAUUGAGAGAGACCAAACUAUAUCUUCAUCUCUCUACACAGGCAGCACAGUUACUACAUCUCUCCCUUAAGAAAGCCUGCGAAUAUCUUCAUAGCCUCAAGAGCUUUCUCACAAUCAGGUCUCAUCAAAUGAAAAACAUGGUCUUCUCCUUCACUCUCCACCAACUCCACUUUCCCUUUCCACUCGCUCUUCUUAAGCUUCGCCGCGUACCGCCAACCUUGCCUCGCCAACGCGUCUUUCUCAGCCACCAUCACCAACGCUUUCCCGCAACCCAACCCGGAGAUAUCCACCGACUCUGACUGAACCACGUUGAUCAACGGAUCAUCGACUCCGUCUUUGUUGUUUGGAGUAGCCAUCAUCCAAAACGCUUCGAUCUUGGACCUCAACGUUUCAUCUUUCGUCUCCUUGUCAUCGAUUGGUGUUUUCGACCAGAAGUAAGGAUGCACCAGGAUGAUCCCGGAGAUUCCUGAGUCGCUUAACUCGGGACUGACUUUCUCCCUCGCAGCUCUCAUCGCCAUGUGAUGAGCGAUGGUCGCGCCGGCGCUGUCUCCGGCGAGGAACAGUUUGCUGAAGUCGACGUGUUUGUUCAACCAACUCUCCGAGCCAGAUCCGGCGAUGUGGGUGAAUACCCAUUUGAGACAUGUCCACGAGUCAUCGAAAGAGAUCGGAAUGGGAUGCUCAGGUGCACGCCUGUAAUCCACGGACACGUGUUCAAGCUUGCUUUCAUAGUAAACCACAAGAAAAAUUGGUGAAAUCUGCUAUUUUCUUCUCUAUUUUGUCUUUUCACAGCAGCAUAGUCCAAGCCAAGUCCAAGCCUUGUAAUAAUAUUGGGCAUGCUAUAAAGAAGAACCAACAACCCUUCCUUAGAUAUGGAAAUAUUAAAAAUAACAGCUUUUGUGUUGUGAUAAUUCGGUUUUUGUUAGACCGAGAUGUAUGCAGACUUCUGUUUUUUUUUUCAAGAAAUGUAGGUUGUCUCUAACCAAUGAGCACAUCAGGAAAUAAGCUAAACUUCAUGUGGUUUAUGUUUUGGGGUUCAUCAGAAGGUUUGUGUAUGAAAAAUUGUGGACUCUACAUUUCUCAACUCUUAAGGCUGAAUCCCAACGUUAAUGAAUUUGGAACAAUAGGCUAAUAAACCUUGUGUUAAUGUCUCACUUGUUGCUCUUGGCAUGUGCAUAUGGUAUUAUUAAUGUCUCUUGUAUUAUUCGUGCAAAUAUGAUAAAAUCACUAUAACAUUGCAGAGAUUGAGAGAGACCAAACUAUAUCUUCAUCUCUCUACACAGGCAGCACAGUUACUACAUCUCUCCCUUAAGAAAGCCUGCGAAUAUCUUCAUAGCCUCAAGAGCUUUCUCACAAUCAGGUCUCAUCAAAUGAAAAACAUGGUCUUCUCCUUCACUCUCCACCAACUCCACUUUCCCUUUCCACUCGCUCUUCUUAAGCUUCGCCGCGUACCGCCAACCUUGCCUCGCCAACGCGUCUUUCUCA
rnacentral:lncRNA from 1 species